UGUCCCUAAAGUUGUGUGUGCUUCAUUCCAACAAGCUUUAAUUAGAAGUCAUUCCUUGAAAUGUUGAAGACUGUUCCAGUUACUAUUGCUAACAAACAAAUUAACUCAAAACUUUGUGACUUAAAACAUGCUCAUAAUUGUAUGAGUAAGAUAUUUAGGAAAGCAUCUGCUAGGUAGUUCUAGCUUAGGGUCUCACAUAUGGUUACGGUAGAUACCACUUGGAGCUGCGGUUAUUUAUCUUUAGGCUCAACUGGGUUAAAUGUUCAAGAAGAUUCUCUCACCUGGCUUGCAGUUGGUUAUGAUGGUUGACUGAGAUUCAGCUGAGGCCACGUAUGGCCUCUUCAGCAUAGCAAUCUCAGGAUAGUCAGGGUUCUUAUGUGGUUUCCAAAAGAAAGUAUCCUAGCUGUAACACCUUUUAUGAUGUAGCACUAGAAGUCACACACUGUUACUUCUGCCAUAUUCUAUUGGUUAACAGGAAGUCACAGAAUAAAGGGAAGAGAAUUAGACUUCAUCUCUUGAUGGGGAAAUGGCAAGGUUCUAGAAGAAUAUGAAGAACAUGUGGCAGCAGAGAUAUUAUUGUAGCCAUCUUUGGAAAAUACUAUCUGCCACAGAUGCUGAUGGGAGUAACUAAAAUAGAAUGGAUUUAAAUGGAAAUAGAUAGAUAGAUAGAUAGAUAGAUAGAUAGAUAGAUAGAUGAGAGAAAGAUAGAUGAAGACAGAUACAGACAGGAUUCAGUUAAAUGAUUUGAAUAACUAUUGAAGAUCUGGAACACCUGGGUGGUUCAGUGGUUGAGCAUCUGCCAUCGGCUCAGGGCGUGAUCCCAGAGUCCUGGGAUUGAGUCCCACAUCAGGGUCCCUGUGGGGAGCCUGCUUCUCCCUCUGCCUAUGUCUUUGUCUCUUUCUGUGUGUCUAUCAUGAAUUUUUUUUAAAUGAAUAACUAUUGAAGAUCUGUCUUUAGUGAUUCUUCUGGGUUGAGCCUCCACUCAAGAUGCAUCCCCUUCUGACAUCCGUUCAACAAGAAGAGUUGGGCAUAAGCAAUCAGGAUUCUGAUUCCACAUGCCUAAUCAUAUCUGAAAUGAGAGUCACACGAAGAUACCAAUUUCCCCCAAAGGCCUAGAGAACCUGCUGCAGUCCUGCAACAUGAUUUAGAAUAGAUAAAAAUGGGAAGAAGAAACCCUGGCGAUCUGCACAUGUGUGUAUAAACAGAACUAAAGUAACUUAAAGAAAAUCUUAUAGUGUGCCUAAAAUGAUCAACAGUUCCUAAAUUCUGAAAUUUAAAAUCAGUUCUUAGUAGUUCCUUAAUUUAGUUAAGACCUUUUAGGCCUUAGGUUUUCAGAUAGGGUAACCAAAGAUUGUCGAUAGUAAAUAGUGCUUUCAGAAGAUAUCAUCUAUUAACAAUAAAGCUGAGAGCAUAGAUUUGUUUUCCA
rnacentral:lncRNA from 12 species